CUUAUCUGCCAGAGACAGUGAAUUUCGCCUUAGGGUUGGUUGCGGGGAGAAAUGAAGCCAGCCAACUGUGAGGCCCCGCAUCUAACAGGCCACCUCAUGCCAACAACCAAAUGGAUUACCCCAGCCAACUGCCCCCAUCAUCUCUGAAUCCUGCAUUCUGCCCCCUGUCGUGGACUUCUCCUUAUCUUUAGCUGGCUGUCUCCAGAACUUUUUCUCACCUGGUAGCUGAGUCUGUGGCCCUAGAUCCUGUUGUUCGUGGUGUAACAGUCUGUCCCAUGGCUAUGCCUUCUUCUGACAUGAACUGUAGGAGAAAUGCUAGUGAUGAAAAAUAACACCUGUCCCUAUUACCUGAUCAAGUACCCACUCUAAGCCAAGUUUGGCAUAUAUCCUCUCUCACGUGGUCCUCAUGACGUCUCAUUAUUGCCCCCAUUUUACAGAUGAGAGCACUGACACUCAGAGGGAUUACAUCACAUGUCCAGACCACACAGCUGGGAUGUUGCAGAGCUGGAGUCAAUACUGAGUAUUUCUGUGUCUUACAGUCCUUGCCCUUUGCAAAUCGUGAAAAUUAAAAAGAUAAUGGACGUGACAGACUUUGUACCAAUAUAACACAGUCUUAUUAAAAUAACUUUUUCAAAAUAA